rnacentral:rRNA from 1 species
CCUACGGGAGGCAGCAGUGGGGAAUAUUGGGCAAUGGGCGCAAGCCUGACCCAGCAACGCCGCGUGAAGGAAGAAGGCUUUCGGGUUGUAAACUUCUUUUGACAGGGAGGAGUAGAAGACGGUACCUGUCGAAUAAGACACGGCUAACUACGUGCCAGAAGCCGCGGUAAUACGUAGGUGGCAAGCGUUGUACGGAUGUACUGGGUGUAAAGGGCGUGUAGCCGGGUUGACAAGUCAGAUGUGAAAUCCUGCGGCUUAACUGCAGAAUUGCAUUUGAAACUGGUUAUCUUGAGUAUUGGAGAGGCAGACGGAAUUCCUAGUGUAGCGGUGAAAUGCGUAGAGAUGAGGAGGAAUACCAGUGGCGAAGGCGGUCUGCUGGACAGCAACUGACGGUGAGGUGCGAAAGCGUGGGGAGCAAACAGGAUUAGAUACCCCUGUAGUC